UGGGGAAUAUUGCGCAAUGGGGGAAACCCUGACGCAGCGACGCCGCGUGCGGGAUGAAGGCCUUCGGGUUGUAAACCGCUUUUGAUUGGGAGCAAGCUUUCGGGUGAGUGUACCUUUCGAAUAAGCGCCGGCUAACUACGUGCCAGCAGCCGCGGUAAUACGUAGGUGGCAAGCGUUGUCCGGAUUUAUUGGGCGUAAAGCGAGCGCAGGCGGUCAAUUAAGUCUGAUGUGAAAGCCCCCGGCUCAACCGGGGAGGGUCAUUGGAAACUGGUUGACUUGAGUGCAGAAGAGGAGAGUGGAAGUCCAUGUGUAGCGGUGAAAUGCGUAGAUAUAUGGGGGAACACCAGUGGCGAAGGCGACUCUCGGGUCUGUAACUGACGCUGAGGUUCGAAAGCGUGGGUAGCAAACAGG
rnacentral:rRNA from 1 species